CGCGGCGGUCAUGGCCUGGGGGAGACGCCCGGUCCCAUUCCGAACCCGGAAGCUAAGACCCAGCACGGCAAU
rnacentral:rRNA from 1 species